UGCGCGGUAGGGAAGCUGGCAACCCGCGGGCCUCAUAAGCCCGAGAUCGGCGGUUCGAGUCCGCCCUGCGCGACCA
rnacentral:tRNA from 1 species